CCUACGGGGGGCUGCAGUGGGGAAUAUUGCACAAUGGGCGCAAGCCUGAUGCAGCGACGCCGCGUGGGGGAUGACGGCCUUCGGGUUGUAAACCUCUUUCACCAGGGACGAAGCGCAAGUGACGGUACCUGGAGAAGAAGGACCGGCCAACUACGUGCCAGCAGCCGCGGUAAUACGUAGGGUCCGAGCGUUGUCCGGAAUUACUGGGCGUAAAGAGCUCGUUGGUGGUUUGUCGCGUUGUUCGUGAAAACUCACAACUCAAUGGUGGGCGUGCGGGCGAUACGGGCAGACUGGAGUACUGCAGGGGAGACUGGAAUUCCUGGUGUAGCGGUGGAAUGCGCAGAUAUCAGGAGGAACACCGGUGGCGAAGGCGGGUCUCUGGGCAGUAACUGACGCUGAGGAGCGAAAGCGUGGGGAGCGAACAGGAUUAGAUACCCGGGUAGUCAGC
rnacentral:rRNA from 1 species